CCUUGGGUGACGAGUGGCGGACGGGUGAGUAAUGUCUGGGAAACUGCCCGAUGGAGGGGGAUAACUACUGGAAACGGUAGCUAAUACCGCAUAACGUCGCAAGACCAAAGAGGGGGACCUUCGGGCCUCUUGCCAUCGGAUGUGCCCAGAUGGGAUUAGCUAGUAGGUGGGGUAACGGCUCACCUAGGCGACGAUCCCUAGCUGGUCUGAGAGGAUGACCAGCCACACUGGAACUGAGACACGGUCCAGACUACUACGGGAGGCAGCAGUGGGGAAUAUUGCACAAUGGGCGCAAGCCUGAUGCAGCCAUGCCGCGUGUAUGAAGAAGGCCUUCGGGUUGUAAAGUACUUUCAGCGAGGAGGAAGGCGUUGUGGUUAAUAACCGCAGCGAUUGACGUUACUCGCAGAAGAAGCACCGGCUAACUCCGUGCCAGCAGCCGCGGUAAUACGGAGGGUGCAAGCGUUAAUCGGAAUUACUGGGCGUAAAGCGCACGCAGGCGGUCUGUCAAGUCGGAUGUGAAAUCCCCGGGCUCAACCUGGGAACUGCAUCCGAAACUGGCAGGCUAGAGUCUUGUAGAGGGGGGUAGAAUUC
rnacentral:rRNA from 1 species